rnacentral:rRNA from 1 species
CAAGUCGAACGAGGCGGAGGGGGCAACUCCUCCAGUCGAGUGGCGGACGGGUGAGUAACACGUGGGUAACCUGCCCGGAAGUGGGGAAUACCUCGGGGAAACUCGAGCUAAUACCGCAUGACAUCUUUGGGACGAGAGUCCCGACGAUCAAAGCGGGGUCGCAAGAUCUCGCGCUACCGGAUGGGCCCGCGCCCGAUUAGCUAGUUGGUGGGGUAAUGGCUCACCAAGGCUUCGAUCGGUAACCGGCCUGAGAGGGCGAUCGGUCACACCGGAACUGAGACACGGUCCGGACUCCUACGGGAGGCAGCAGUGGGGAAUCUUGCGCAAUGGGCGAAAGCCUGACGCAGCAACGCCGCGUGGAGGAUGAAGGCCCUUGGGUUGUAAACUCCUGUCGGCUGGGAAGAAAUCAUACGGCGCUCAUACCGCCGUAUGUUGACUGUACCAGCAAAGGAAGCCCCGGCUAACUCUGUGCCAGCAGCCGCGGUAAUACAGAGGGGGCCAGCGUUAUUCGGAAUUAUUGGGCGUAAAGGGCGCGUAGGCGGCCAUGCGUGUCUUCCGUGAAAUCCCUCGGCUUAACUGAGGACGUGCGGAAGAAACUGCAAGGCUCGAGUCCGGGAGAGGGGGGUGGAAUUCCCAGUGUAGCGGUGAAAUGCGUAGAUAUUGGGAGGAACACCGGUGGCGAAGGCGGCCCCCUGGACCGGUACUGACGCUGAGGCGCGAAAGCGUGGGUAGCAAACGGGAUUAGAUACCCCGGUAGUCCACGCCGUAAACGAUGGGCACUUGGUGUCGCGGGUAUCGACCCCUGCGGUGCCGAAGCUAACGCAUUAAGUGCCCCGCCUGGGGAGUACGGUCGCAAGGCUGAAACUCAAAGGAAUUGACGGGGGCCCGCACAAGCGGUGGAGCAU